AUUGAACGCUAGCGGGAUGCUUUACACAUGCAAGUCGAACGGCAGCGCGGACUUCGGUCUGGCGGCGAGUGGCGAACGGGUGAGUAAUGUAUCGGAACGUGCCCAGUAGCGGGGGAUAACUACGCGAAAGCGUAGCUAAUACCGCAUACGUCCUACGGGGGAAAGCAGGGAAACGUAAGACCUUGCACAAUGGUUGCGGCCGAUAGCGGAGUAGCUAGUUGGUGAGGUAAGUUCUCAGCAAGGCGACGAACCGUGGCUGGUUUUAGAGGACGGCCAGACACACUGGGAUUGAGACACGGCCCAGACCACUACGGGAGGCAGCAGUGCGGUAUUUUGGACAAGGCAGGCAACCCUGAUCCAGCCAUCCCGCGUGUGGGAUGAAGGCCUUCGGGUUGGAAAGCAAAUUUGGCAGGAAAGAAACGUAGCGGGCUAAUACCCCGUGGAACUGACGGUACCUGAAGAAUAAGCGCCGGCUAACUCCGUG
rnacentral:rRNA from 1 species